CCGAUUCUCUCUUCCUCUCCGACCUCUUCACCUUCUUCCGGCCAUAACUCCUCCAUCCGGCGACGGAUUUUGAAGUGUAAGAUGUCGUUGGAAAGCUCUCUUCCUUCUCUUCAUUUCUGGGUUCGUUUCGUAGCUUAAUAUGAACUGUGGAAGGUGCAGCAACGAGAAGAAGAGGACGGUCACUGUAGCAGUUUUGAGUCAACGCCGAUAUUUUCCGAUUCCGGCAGUCUCCGGCCACAAAAUUGGCGUCGAAGGGUUCUUGGAAUUUCUGGAAAAUUUUCACCGGCCAAAUUGGAGCUCUUCCAGGGCAAUGCCGCGAGCUACGGUUAAAUGAAGGAACUCGUUUGCGUGGUCGCCCAAUAGUACUUUUGCAGGCGAAAUUAGUUGAGGUCGGGCGUACAUGGAGUCGAGGCAUAGCCAACAGCAUUGCUUCCGCGUACUCAUUCUAUUUCUGUUUUCUUUGUUACCUAGUGGAUUAGUAUUGCUCUGAUAACCUAUGGGAUUAAUAUUGUUUUUGGGUUGAGACUGAUAUUUGUGAAAUUGGAGUUGUGAUUUGGGGAGCAGAUGGCUCCAGAA